GACCUGGCUGGGCGGUCUUGCCGAAUAGGUAAGCACUGCUCUGGUCGGGUCUUUCCUUCUGGGGAACCAGCGUGCUCUUAAUUGAGUGCACUGGGGAUCCAGGACUUUUACUUUGAAAAAAUUAGAGUGUUUAAAGCAGGCAUACGCUUGAAUACAUUAGCAUGGAAUAAUGAAAUAGGG
rnacentral:rRNA from 1 species